rnacentral:rRNA from 1 species
GGGGGGGGGGGGGGGGGGGCGGGGGGCGGGGGGGGCGGGCGGGCGGGAGGGGGCUUGGGUGCUUGAGCGAGUGGCGAACGGGGGAGUAACGCGUGAGGCACCUGCCUCAAAGCGGGGGACAACAGUUGGGAACGACUGCUAAUACCGCAUCAGCCCACGGUGCCGCAUGGCACCGAGGGAAAAGGCGCAAUCCGCUUUGAGAUGGCCUGGCGUCCGAUUCGCUCGUGGGUGAGGUAACGGCCCACCACGGCGACGCUCGGUAGCCGGACUUAGAGGUUGAACGGCCACAUUGGGACUGAGACACGGACCAGAACCCUACGGGGGGCAGCAGUGGGGAAUAUUGCACCAUGGGGGAAACCCUGAUGCAGCGACGCCGCGUGGAGGAAGAAGGGCUUCGGAUUGUAAACUCCUGUUGGUGGGGAAGAUAAUGACGGUACCCAACAAGGAAGUGACGGCUAACUACGUG